UACGUAGGUGGCGAGCUUUGUCCGGAUUUAUUGGGCGUGAAGAGCGUGUAGGCGGCCAGGUAGGUCAGCUGUGAAAACUCGAGGCUCAACCUCGAGAUGUCGGCUGAAACCAUCUGGCUAGAGUCCGGAAGAGGAGAAUGGAAUUCCCGGUGUAGCGGUGAAAUGCGCAGAUAUCGGGAAGAACACCCGUGGCGAAGGCGGUUCUCUGGGACGGUACUGACGCUGAGACGCGAAAGCGUGGGGAGCGAACAGG
rnacentral:rRNA from 1 species